rnacentral:rRNA from 1 species
CAAUAGCGUAUAUUUAAGUUGCUGCAGUUAAAAAGCUCGUAGUUGGAUUUCGGGUGGGAAUGGCCGGUCCGCCGUUUCGGUGUGCACUUGCUACGCCCACCUUGCUGCCGGGGACGUGCUCUUGAGUUCACGCUCGGGACACGGAGUCGGCGAGGUUACUUUGAGUAAAUUAGAGUGUUCAAAGCAGGCCUACGCUCUGAAUACAUUAGCAUGGAAUAACACGACAGGACUCUGGCCUAUCUUGUUGGUCUGUAGGACCGGAGUAAUGAUUAAGAGGGACAGUCGGGGGCAUUCGUAUUUCAUUGUCAGAGGUGAAAUUCUUGGAUUUAUGAAAGACGAACUACUGCGAAAGCAUUUGCCAAGGAUGUUUUCAUUAA